rnacentral:rRNA from 1 species
CCUACGGGAGGCAGCAGUCUAGAGGCUUCGGCAAUGGACGAAAGUCUGACCGAGCGACGCCGCGUGCGGGAUGAAGGCCGUGAGGUUGUAAACCGCUGUCAGCAGGGAAGAAUGCCCGGAUGGUGAAUUCGGGAGUGACGGUACCUGCAGAGGAAGCCCCGGCUAACUCCGUGCCAGCAGCCGCGGUAAUACGGAGGGGGCAAACGUUGUUCGGAAUUACUGGGCGUAAAGGGUGCGUAGGCGGUUCGGUAAGUCUAGCGUGAAAUCUCGUCGCUUAACGACGAAACUGCGCUGGAUACUGCUGAGCUCGAGGGUGGGAGAGGCUAGUGGAAUUCCUGGUGUAGCGGUGGAAUGCGUAGAUAUCAGGAAGAACACUCGUGGCGAAGGCGGCUAGCUGGCCCAUUCCUGACGCUGAGGCACGAAAGCCAGGGGAGCGAACGGGAUUAGAUACCCCGGUAGUCCUGGCCGUAAACGGUGAACACUAGGUGUCGGGGGUAUCGACCCCCUCGGUGCCGGAGCUAACGCGUUAAGUGUUCCGCCUGGGGAGUACGACCGCAAGGUUGAAACUCAAAGGAAUUGACGG